UACGUAUGGUGCAAGCGUUAUCCGGAUUUACUGGGUGUAAAGGGAGCGCAGGCGGUGCGGCAAGUCUGAUGUGAAAGCCCGGGGCUCAACCCCGGUACUGCAUUGGAAACUGUCGUACUAGAGUGUCGGAGGGGUAAGUGGAAUUCCUAGUGUAGCGGUGAAAUGCAUAGAUAUUAGGAGGAACACCAGUGGCGAAGGCGGCUUACUGGACGAUAACUGACGCUGAGGCUCGAAAGCGUGGGGAGCAAACAGG
rnacentral:rRNA from 1 species